rnacentral:tRNA from 1 species
UGGUGAAGUAGCUCAACUGGUAGAGCGCGUGAGUGAAGACCACGGCGUUGCGGGUUCAAGCCCUGCCUUCACCAU